rnacentral:tRNA from 1 species
GAUCGCGUAGCUCAGUUGGCAGAGCAUUGGGCUAGUAUUCCAAAGGUCGCAGGUUCGAUUCCCACCGUGGUCA